rnacentral:rRNA from 1 species
CUACGGGAGGCAGCAGUGGGGAAUAUUGCACAAUGGGCGCAAGCCUGAUGCAGCGACGCCGCGUGAGGGAUGGAGGCCUUCGGGUUGUAAACCUCUUUUAUCGGGGAGCAAGCGAGAGUGAGUUUACCCGUUGAAUAAGCACCGGCUAACUACGUGCCAGCAGCCGCGGUAAUACGUAGGGUGCAAGCGUUAUCCGGAAUUAUUGGGCGUAAAGGGCUCGUAGGCGGUUCGUCGCGUCCGGUGUGAAAGUCCAUCGCUUAACGGUGGAUCCGCGCCGGGUACGGGCGGGCUUGAGUGCGGUAGGGGAGACUGGAAUUCCCGGUGUAACGGUGGAAUGUGUAGAUAUCGGGAAGAACACCAAUGGCGAAGGCAGGUCUCUGGGCCGUUACUGACGCUGAGGAGCGAAAGCGUGGGGAGCGAACAGGAUUAGAUACCCUGGUAGUCCACGCCGUAAACGGUGGAUGCUGGAUGUGGGGCCCGUUCCACGGGUUCCGUGUCGGAGCUAACGCGUUAAGCAUCCCGCCUGGGGAGUACGGCCGCAAGGCUAAAACUCAAAGAAAUUGACGGGGGCCCGCACAAGCGGCGGAGCAUGCGGAUUAAUUCGAUGCAACGCGAAGAACCUUACCUGGGCUUGACAUGUUCCCGACGGUCGUAGAGAUACGGCUUCCCUUCGGGGCGGGUUCACAGGUGGUGCAUGGUCGUCGUCAGCUCGUGUCGUGAGAUGUUGGGUUAAGUCCCGCAACGAGCGCAACCCU